rnacentral:tRNA from 1 species
GCGCCCGUAGCUCAGCUGGACAGAGCAGGAGCCUUCUAAGCUCUUGGCCGGGGGUUCGAAUCCUCCCGGGCGCACCA